AUGCAGGUACUGUUAGAAUACAUCUGACAUGUUUUACUGUCGUUCCCCCUGCUGAAAGCACUUGAUGCAUAACUAUUUGUCUUAACUACAUUCCGUAGUAAGACAGAUGCUUGGCUUCAAACGU
rnacentral:snoRNA from 1 species